rnacentral:rRNA from 1 species
GUAGGUGGCAAGCGUUGUCCGGAAUUAUUGGGCGUAAAGCGCGCGCAGGCGGUUCUUUAAGUCUGAUGUGAAAGCCCACGGCUCAACCGUGGAGGGUCAUUGGAAACUGGAGAACUUGAGUACAGAAGAGGAAAGCGGAAUUCCACGUGUAGCGGUGAAAUGCGUAGAGAUGUGGAGGAACACCAGUGGCGAAGGCGGCUUUCUGGUCUGUAACUGACGCUGAGGCGCGAAAGCGUGGGGAGCAAACAGGGAUUAGAUACCCUGGUAGUCCACGCCGUAAACGAUGAGUGCUAAGUGUUAGGGGGUUUCCGCCCCUUAGUGCUGCAGCUAACGCAUUAAGCACUCCGCCUGGGGAGUACGGCCGCAAGGCUG